CCUACGGGAGGCAGCAGUGGGGAAUAUUGGACAAUGGGCGAAAGCCUGAUCCAGCAAUGCCGCGUGAGUGAUGAAGGCCUUCGGGUCGUAAAGCUCUUUUACCAGGGAUGAUAAUGACAGUACCUGGAGAAUAAGCUCCGGCUAACUCCGUGCCAGCAGCCGCGGUAAUACGGAGGGAGCUAGCGUUGUUCGGAAUUACUGGGCGUAAAGAGUACGUAGGCGGUUAUUCAAGUCAGAGGUGAAAGCCCGGGGCUCAACCCCGGAACUGCCUUUGAAACUAGAUAACUAGAGUCUUGGAGAGGUUAGUGGAAUUCCGAGUGUAGAGGUGAAAUUCGUAGAUAUUCGGAAGAACACCAGUGGCGAAGGCGACUAACUGGACAAGUACUGACGCUGAGGUACGAAAGCGUGGGGAGCAAACAGGAUUAGAUACCCUGGUAGUCCACGCCGUAAACGAUGAUAACUAGUUGUUCGGUCACUUGGUGACUGAGUGACGCAGCUAACGCAUUAAGUUAUCCGCCUGGGGAUACGGUCGCAAGNUUAAAACUCAAAUGAAUUGACGGNUGAGAGUUGCGAGCGACACGAGGGAGGAGG
rnacentral:rRNA from 1 species